rnacentral:rRNA from 1 species
UACGGAGGAUGCAAGCGUUAUCCGGAAUGAUUGGGCGUAAAGCGUCCGCAGGUGGCUAUGUAAGUCUGCUGUUAAAGAGUCUAGCUCAACUAGAUAAGAGCAGUGGAAACUACAAGGCUAGAGUACGUUCGGGGCAGAGGGAAUUCCUGGUGUAGCGGUGAAAUGCGUAGAGAUCAGGAAGAACACCAGUGGCGAAAGCGCUCUGCUAGGCCGCAACUGACACUGAGGGACGAAAGCUAGGGGAGCGAAUGGG